UACAGAGGGGGCAAGCGUUAUUCGGAAUUAUUGGGCGUAAAGGGCGCGUAGGCGGCUUGGCAAGUGGAAGGUGAAAUCCCUCGGCUUAACCGAGGAACUGCCCUCCAAACUGCUUCGCUUGAGACCGGGAGAGGUGAGUGGAAUUCCCAGUGUAGCGGUGAAAUGCGUAGAUAUUGGGAGGAACACCAGAGGCGAAGGCGGCUCACUGGACCGGUACUGACGCUGAUGCGCGAAAGCGUGGGGAGCAAACGGG
rnacentral:rRNA from 1 species